UGACAAUCUUUAAUUAAUAUAUUUCUUAAUUUAUUUAAUUAAUAAUUAUUAAUUUAUUUAAUUAAUGAUACUCCCUUCCACAGAUUUCCUAAGGAAUAAAGAAUGAUGUGAGGAUAGACAAAUAAGGGCAGAAACCCAGAGAAGAUAAAUUGUGGCUUUCAUUAUCCUUCGCCUGUUAACUUUACUGCCACAGAGAGAAAUAUUUCCACCAAGGAAGAGAGAAAUGAAAGGAGACGAGAAUGUCACAAGUGGCAGAACUUCUGCUGGGAUUUCAUUCUCCACCCCUGCUUGGGACUCCUUCCUGCUUCUUCCUAUCCUAAUGCAAACAUGGUCUAGCUUCAGAAUAGCUGUUAUCCAAAAGCUUCUGGCAGAGGACGUACAAGCCCACGCUACCACCCCAACCAUACAUGUGUAUGUCUUGACCUUUCAAUUUCCUUGAGAGCCAUACCCACUGGAAAUGACUAUUAAAACAAAGAAAAGCUUCACCGCAUUCUGGCAUUUUCAGGGAAAAAAAAAAUCCAG
rnacentral:lncRNA from 1 species